UCUCAUUAAUAUAGCCAAACAGUAACUGCUGUUGUGUUCCACAGGGUCGGGAUGUCGAGAGUCAGAAACAGCCUGGAGAGAGAUGGAUCUCGCGGUCAGCCAUGUUUGUUUACAUCCGCCCUGUUUUGAGGCCUGCUGCACUAGACAAACUCCCAUGAACCAGCAGAGCAGACCUUCAUUGAGUCCUUGAGUGUCAGAUGGAAGGCUGGAGCAAGGCUGUUCUGUACAGGCUGCAAACAACAGGGCUCCACACUCUUUCUCUUUUAGGCCUGGUGUUCCUCUCUCUCGGAGAGGGUUUUGGUCAUGGGGGGAAGGGCGCCGUGUUUGGAGUGACCCAGAGGAGAAGGUCGACGACACGCCACAAACGAACCAACAGCCUGA